rnacentral:rRNA from 1 species
AGAGUUUGAUCAUGGCUCAGGAUGAACGCUAGCGGCAGGCCUAACACAUGCAAGUCGAGGGGUAACAGGUAGAAAGCUUGCUUUCUAUGCUGACGACCGGCGCACGGGUGAGUAACGCGUAUGCAACCUACCUUUAACAGGAGAAUAGCCCCGAGAAAUCGGGAUUAAUGCUCCAUAAAAUGUUUAGAUCGCAUGGUUUGAACAUUAAAGCUCCGGCGGUUAAAGAUGGGCAUGCGUGACAUUAGCUAGUUGGUACGGUAACGGCGUACCAAGGCAACGAUGUCUAGGGGUUCUGAGAGGAUUGUCCCCCACACUGGUACUGAGACACGGACCAGACUCCUACGGGAGGCAGCAGUGAGGAAUAUUGGUCAAUGGUCGAGAGACUGAACCAGCCAUGCCGCGUGCAGGAUGACGGCGCUAUGCGUUGUAAACUGCUUUUCUACAGGAAGAACUGUACUUACGUGUAAGUAUUUGACGGUACUGUAGGAAUAAGCACCGGCUAACUCCGUGCCAGCAGCCGCGGUAAUACGGAGGGUGCAAGCGUUAUCCGGAUUUAUUGGGUUUAAAGGGUGCGUAGGCGGAAUAAUAAGUCAGUGGUGAAAUCCUGCGGCUCAACCGUAGAACUGCCAUUGAUACUGUUAUUCUUGAAUGUAGUUGAGGUAGGCGGAAUGUGUAAUGUAGCGGUGAAUGCUUAGAUAUUACACAGAACACCGAUUGCGAAUGCAGCUUGCUAAACUAUGAUUGACGCUGAUGCACGAAGCGUGGGGAGCGAAC